GACGAACGCUGGCGGCGUGCCUAAUACAUGCAAGUAGAACGCUGAAGGAGGAGCUUGCUUCUCUGGAUGAGUUGCGAACGGGUGAGUAACGCGUAGGUAACCUGCCUGGUAGCGGGGGAUAACUAUUGGAAACGAUAGCUAAUACCGCAUAAUAUUGACUAUUGCAUGAUAGUCAGUUGAAAGGUGCAACUGCACCACUACCAGAUGGACCUGCGUUGUAUUAGCUAGUUGGUGGGGUAACGGCUCACCAAGGCGACAAUACAUAGCCGACCUGAGAGGGUGAUCGGCCACACUGGGACUGAGACACGGCCCAGACUCCUACGGGAGGCAGCAGUAGGGAAUCUUCGGCAAUGGACGGAAGUCUGACCGAGCAACGCCGCGUGAGUGAAGAAGGUUUUCGGAUCGUAAAGCUCUGUUGUAAGAGAAGAACGAGUGUGAGAGUGGAAAGCUCACACUGUGACGGUAUCUUACCAGAAAGGGACGGCUAACUACGUG
rnacentral:rRNA from 1 species